CCUACGGGAGGCAGCAGUGAGGAAUAUUGGUCAAUGGGCGCGAGCCUGAACCAGCCAAGUAGCGUGAAGGAUGACUGCCCUAUGGGUUGUAAACUUCUUUUAUACAAGAAUAAAGUUAGGUACGUGUGCUUUUUUGUAUGUACUUUACGAAUAAGGAUCGGCUAACUCCGUGCCAGCAGCCGCGGUAAUACGGAGGAUCCGAGCGUUAUCCGGAUUUAUUGGGUUUAAAGGGAGCGUAGACGGGUUGUUAAGUCAGUUGUGAAAGUUUGCGGCUUAACCGUGAAAUUGCAAUUGAUACUGGCAGUCUUGAGUACAGUUGAGGUAGGCGGAAUGCGUGGUGUAGCGGUGAAAUGCUUAGAGAUCACGAAGAACUCCGAUUGCGAAGGCAGCUUACUAAUCU
rnacentral:rRNA from 1 species